AGAGUUUGAUCAUGGCUCAGAACGAACGCUGGCGGCAGGCUUAACACAUGCAAGUCGAACGGGCACCUUCGGGUGUCAGUGGCAGACGGGUGAGUAACGCGUGGGAACGUACCCUUUGGUUCGGGAUAACCCGGGGAAACUCGGGCUAAUACCGGAUAUUACCGGAGACGGGAAAGGUUUACUGCCGAAGGAUCGGCCCGCGUCGGAUUAGCUAGUUGGUGGGGUAAUGGCCCACCAAGGCGACGAUCCGUAGCUGGUCUGAGAGGAUGAUCAGCCACACUGGGACUGAGACACGGCCCAGACUCCUACGGGAGGCAGCAGUGGGGAAUAUUGGACAAUGGGCGCAAGCCUGAUCCAGCCAUGCCGCGUGAGUGAAGAAGGCCCUAGGGUUGUAAAGCUCUUUCAGCGGGGACGAUAAUGACGGUACCCGCAGAAGAAGCCCCGGCUAACUUCGUGCCAGCAGCCGCGGUAAUACGAAGGGGGCUAGCGUUGUUCGGAAUUACUGGGCGUAAAGGGCGCGUAGGCGGACGUUUAAGUCAGGGGUGAAAUCCCAGGGCUCAACCCUGGAACUGCCUUUGAUACUGGAUGUCUGGAGUUCGGGAGAGGUGAGUGGAAUUCCGAGUGUAGAGGUGAAAUUCGUAGAUAUUCGGAGGAACACCAGAAGCGAAGGCGGCUCACUGGCCCGAUACUGACGCUGAGGCGCGAAAGCGUGGGGAGCAAACAGGAUUAGAUACCCUAGUAGUCC
rnacentral:rRNA from 1 species